CACACACGCACAUGUACACCCCACCGGUGUGUGGGUACCAGCCCGGAUGCUUAUAAGGUGUGUGUAGAGAGUUUCGCUCAUCUUUUACCCACCAAAAUUGAAAGAAAAGAAGAAAGGCCAUCUGCGAAUAGCGAUCUGGGAUGCGGAACCCAAAAAUGGUGGUGACGGUGGUGGUGGCGGUGGUAAUAGCCGAGUUGGCGGAUGACAAACACAACAUUGAGAAUGAUUCCCGUUAUACAUCUUCCAUCGCAGUGGAGAGAGGGUGUUUUUCUAUAGAGAGAGAGGGAGGACCUCAAUUGUCAGAGGCUGCACAGUAUUUUUAAUCAUCCCCGGAAUAACUCGUGAAUUUCUCAGCAUCAUUCAUAAUGAAAAGAAGAAAGAGGCUGUUCCCUUAUGCUCCUAUGUGAUGAUUUUUUUUUUUAGCCAAAAUGAGAGGAAUGGAUCAUGUCGUGUUGCUUAUGGGCAUGGGAAACCUAGUGAUCUUCUUUUUCCUAUGAGAGAUAUUGAUAGCCUCUAUAUUUUAUUUUUCAAUUAAAUAUCAAUCAGCCCAUCGAGUGGGAAAUUCAAUUGCGGCAAUGCGGGCCCGGGCCGUAAUAUUCAUAACGCCCAGCUAGUUAGUGGACUAAAUCCGGAUGGACGCAUCUAGGCU